GACGAACGCUGGCGGCGUGCCUAAUACAUGCAAGUUGAGCGAUGAAGCUUGGUGCUUGCACCAAUUUGAAGAGCAGCGAACGGGUGAGUAACGCGUGGGGAAUCUGCCUUUGAGCGGGGGACAACAUUUGGAAACGAAUGCUAAUACCGCAUAACAACUUUAAACAUAAGUUUUAAGUUUGAAAGAUGCAAUUGCAUCACUCAAAGAUGAUCCCGCGUUGUAUUAGCUAGUUGGUGAGGUAAAGGCUCACCAAGGCGAUGAUACAUAGCCGACCUGAGAGGGUGAUCGGCCACAUUGGGACUGAGACACGGCCCAAACGCCUACGGGAGGCAGCAGUAGGGAAUCUUCGGCAAUGGACGAAAGUCUGACCGAGCAACGCCGCGUGAGUGAAGAAGGGUUUCGGAUCGUAAAACUCGGUUGGUAGAGAAGAACGUUGGUGAGAGUGGAAAGCUCAUCAAGUGACGGUAACUACCCAGAAAGGGACGGCUAACUACGUG
rnacentral:rRNA from 1 species